rnacentral:tRNA from 1 species
GCCUCGGUAGCUCAGUGGUAGAGCGGCAGCCUCGUAAGCUGUAGGUCGCGGGUUCGAAGGAACUCGCACGAUGAGUGCGGUUCUGAAAAUCCCGUCCGGGGCUCCA